CCCCUUGUCCCACCACUGCUACUUCGCAGGGAAGGGGAGACCAAAAGGGAGUUUGUUGCCAUGCUUGCCACCUCUUGUGCACUGUUCGGGCGGCAGGGACCCCAGCUGCUGCCAACUGAUUGGGGGCGGGCGGGAAGGGGGAAGUGAUGCCGAUCGCCACCAAUUCAGAACCUUCCACGGUGCAGUCCGACUACCCGCCUCUUUCCUUCCGCCUGCUUGCAGAACCACGAACGGGAAUCCACAAAGUCCGGGGAGGACAGCACUGAAGAUCGAUCGGAUCCCCUUCGCCAGCUUCACCAUGAACGGGGACGCCGCUCAUUUACAACAGCCACCUCCCCCCACCCUCUGCCAGCAGCCGCCGCCACUCCUACACAGGCCGAGCCUCCCGGAGCAAGGAACUCAGAGCCAGGGUAGAGGCGGCCACAUCGCUGCCCCAGACAACAGAGCCCCUGUGUCAGGUCCCAGAGGUUGACACCCUCCAUAACACUUCAGUGGAGUUGUGCCCGUCCCACUGGGUAUGUGUCCCCAUGGGAGACACGACGGGUGUCUGGACACCAGGCGGUAAAACACGCAGGGAAGGGGGGAGAGAACAGAGUUGUGAUAUUGCUCUCCAUCUCCAUUGGGGUGUCUUCCCUCAGUGCUUGUGACCUUACUGAGUGGUUGCCCCGUGGCCCCGAGGGUGCUGAGUCCCCAGGGGUGACAUGGGAGCAGCAGCGCACACAGGGGAGAUGUUGAGGUCCCCAGAAAAGGGACCGAGUAAAAACUGAAAGGGUCAUACCAAAACAAGUAAACUUGUUGGGGAUCUUGUUCAAGUUUUGUACCUCCUAGCAAACAGCUGAAGCUUUGGAGUAUGUCGGGGAAAAGAGAAAGAGGAUUACCAAGACCGAGGGUCUCUGGAGUCUCCAGGAGUGUUGAGGAGCCAUUUCUUUCUCUGCAUUUUCUCCUUGUAUUUCUGGUGUUGGAAUCGCUGAGUGGACUGUACUGCUAGAGAAAGUUUCUGAACUGCCUUGCUCUGGGUGACUCAAAGGGGUGCAUGGAUCCUGCCACAGAGCCUGAGUUGGGUGUAAGGAUAGACGCAUUUAAAAUUAUUCCAUUAUUUUAGACCUUUCAGAUAUACUUUUUUUUUUUUUUUCUUAGCAUCAUGUAUGGCAUUAUAAAUGAUGCUGUUGGAGAAGCAUUGUUGAAGUAAUUAAAUUUGAUAGGGCACAUUUGUUCUUGUAUAAUCGUUGCUAAUAUAGUAUCUGUGCUGUCUUCAUAUUUCCUGUUUUUUUUUUUUUUUUUUUAAUUUGACAAUAGAAUUUAUUUUAACGUGCAUUUAAAUGUCUGUACUAUGAUAUAAACUUUUGUUGCAUUCUGAAUGAUACCAGGGUUGUGUAACU